GGAGUUAAUUACUGAAAUUCUACUGUAGCUAAAUUUUGCAAAGUCAUUAUGACAGAACAUUUCAAACACAAAGAAAUACACAUUAUCAACACAAAUACAAACAAAUUUUACGAUAACUCGACGUGAGAUAAGAAAGCACAGAUUCGAGUGAAACACAAAAUAUCGAACAGUAAGCGUUCGACUUUAAUUGAAAUUCAUUCACUGCCAUUAUCAUAUUAUAUGCAAAUCGAAUAUGGUUUGCAUUGAAUUGUUGACCAGUUUGGUUGUAGUUUUCCUUGCUUUGUAUUAUUACUUUACGUCGACCUUCAAUUUUUGGAAGACUCGUGAUGUACCUGGACCAAAACCAGUACCUGUGUUAGGUAACCUCAAAAAUAUCAUAAAUGGUCACUCCGCGAUAGAUGACUAUAUAACGAAACUGUAUUAUGAAUACAAGAAUGAACCCAUGAUCGGAAUAUUCGUGAAAAGAACACCGAAUCUCAUAUUGACCGAUCUGGAUCUUAUAAAAGACGUUCUGAUCAAGGACUUCUCCACCUUCAAUGAUCGAGGAAUUACCCUUUUCCCGAGAGCAGAACCGUUGUCCUUAAACAUCUUCAGCUUAGAAGCAGAAAGAUGGCGUCCACUGAGGAUGAGGCUCUCGCCGAUAUUCACGUCCGGAAAAUUGAAAGAUAUGUUUCCGUUGAUACUCGAAUGUUCCAACGCGCUAGAAGGGUGUUUAGAGAAAAUAAUCAAGGAAGAAAAACUUCUGGAUUGUCGAGAAGUAGCAGCAAGGUUCACUACGGACGUGAUAGGAAGCUGCAUCUUUGGGAUCAGUAUGAACGCGCUGGCCGACGAAGGAAGCGAAUUUCGGCAACUGGGAAAAAGGAUGUUCGAAGUUGGUAACAAGGCACGGUUAAGAGGUAUUUUGAGAGAAGUUGCACCGUGGUUGUACUGUACACUCGCGUUGCUGCUACCUUCGCACAAGGUGACCACAUUUUUGACGAAGAUGGUCUCGGAGACUAUACGGUACAGGAAAGAGAACAGCGUCGUCAGACCGGAUUUCAUAAAUGUGCUGAUGGAACUGAAGUAUAAUCCGCACAAAUUAGAAAAUAUCGAGGUGACGGAUACUUUACUGACCGCACAGGCUGCCAUUUUCUUCGCGGCGGGCUUUGAAACUUCUUCCAGCACGAUUGGACAUGCUUUGUACGAAAUGGCGUUGAAUCCUGAAGUGCAAGAGAAGCUUCGGAAAGAAAUCAAAGAAUUCUAUGAGAAGAAUAAAGGAAAUUGGACGUACGAGAACAUCAAAGAAAUGAGCUAUUUGGACAAAGUAUUCAAAGAGACACUUAGGAAGUAUCCACCAGUCACGGUUCUAAAAAGAAGAUGUAACAGUAAUUACACCUUUAGUGGUACAAAAGUGUCUAUUCCGAAAGAUACUGUAGUUCACAUUCCUGUAUACGCAAUUCACACCGACCCUGAUCAUUAUAAGAAUCCGGAAGUUUUUGACCCUGAGAGGUUUAACGAGGAUGCGGAGGCCAGUCGACACCCUAUGUGUUUGUUGCCCUUCGGAGAUGGGCCAAGAAAUUGCAUCGGUGCACGUUUCGCAGUUUAUCAAACUAAAAUAGGACUAAUACAGAUGCUGAAAAAUUAUAGAGUUGAUGUUAGCGAUGAAACAAUGAUUCCAUAUGAAAAGCAUCCGUUUUCUCAUUUAUUGGCGCCAAAAAGAAGUCUCCUCUUAAAGAUAAGCAAAGUGCAAAGUCAAACCAGCGAUUCCAACAAUGUACAUAUUGGCGAAUAGAAAUAGUCAUACCUAAUAAGAUAUACUGUAAUAUAAACAAUUAUUAAGAUAUUGUAAAUUGUUUGGCUUUUCAAGAAAUUGAAUUUAAGAAAGUAAUGCAGGAGGAACAAGGAUAGAUAAUCUUGAGCUUUUUAAUUUCGCCGUAUGAGGUCUCCAAAGUCACUGCUACUCCAUUUUAAAUUUGAAAUUAUCGAAGUGACAGUGACGCUAUCGUUCUGUGCCAGUUUAAUUAAAUUGUGUGUGAUAAUUGUGAUAAUUGCAAUUCUACUUUUCGAAUCUGCAACAAUCGUCGAAUGUACGUACUUUUAUUAUAUUUUUGUAUGUUUAUUUUCAUUUGUUAUCGCUUAUUUUUUAUAUUAAUGAUUUGGCAUGAAAUCGGCAUUUUUCUCGAACAAAUUUUGCGGGAAAUGUGCUUUUUUUCUGUCGACUUUCCUUUUAGUAAUUAUUAGAAAUUUAUGUCGACUUUAUGUACUAACGCAUGCAAAUGUUUAAAAGCAUUAUUUAAUAAUGUAGAAGCAUUAUUAAACAUUUUCGAGAAAAAUGUAAAAAUUAUUUUUACUGUU
rnacentral:misc_RNA from 1 species